rnacentral:lncRNA from 1 species
AUUAUUUGUAAAAACAAGGAUAUAUGAUCAAGCAAAACAGACUUUGAAUGAUCAACUGAACGUUUCAUCCAAGUGUUAUUUAUAUAAAUAUAUUGUCAAUAAUGUAUGUUUACAGAAUUAUCUAACUAAACAUAUGAAUUUUAGAGUGUAUUUAACUCGCCUUAGAUUGUCAUCUCAUAAUUUGUUUGUUGAAGUAGGCCGUUAUCAUGGGGUAAAUAGGUUAGAUAGAAAGUGUACUCUUUGUACUUUGAAUAUCACUGAAGAUGAAUUCCAUUUUGUUUUACAAUGUGAAAGCUAUAGAGACUUGAGGAGACAGUUUAUUAAACCUUAUUAUUAUAGACGUCCAUCGUCGUUCAAAUUAGUGCAACUUCUCAGCACUGAAAAUGUAAAAGAUUUGCGUAAUUUGUGUAAAUUCUUGUUUAAUGCACUUAAUCAUAGGACCAAACUGUUAUUGGUCAAUACUUGAUAUUUAUUUGCUUCUCUGAUGUAUUAUGUCAUGUUGUGUUAUAGAAAUGUAUUUGUAUUUAUUGCACUGAUAAGCAUAAUGUGCUUAAAGUAAUAAAGAAUUGAAUUGAAUUGUAU